AACGGUUUCAUUACUGAAAUUUCAGUAGGGAAGAUUGUCUAUCUUAUUUACGCCUCUCUUUAAAAGUAACAAAGAAACAAGACAGAAAAAGCAGAGGAUGAUUUCUGUUCUUCCUCUCGGCUUUCAGGUGCCCUCACCUCGAGUGGCAUCCAUCCAAAUACUAGCAUUGACACUUUCCGUUCUCAGAACUGCCUCAGCCCUGAAGACACAACUGACAAGUAGAAGGGGGCCACGCCCUGUUACAGCAGGUGCUCUCACUCUGUGGGUCCUUAUGUAAGUGCAUGGUGUUAUUCAGGAUCACCCGUUCUACAUUGUGUGACGCUGCUAUGGUGUCUCCUAGUUAUUUGUUUCUGAUCUGAGAAGCAGUAGCAAGGAACUCAGGGAGAGAUCCAGGAAGACAUCUGACUGUGUUAAGUGACGAUAGUCACAGUGACACGGGGAGCGAAGACACUUGCAGCAAAGUAAAAUAACUUCACAUCUAUUGCAUCAGAGCUGCAGGUGUGAGAGAGCCUAAGCCUGUCUCAGAGUGCAGGGGAAAAGAGGAAAGGAAUGGUUCACACAACCCCACCAGCCCCUCUUGCUCCCAUCGGGGAUGGGAUUUCUAAAGCACAGUGCCCCUCCUGUUUGGGUGGGCCACGCUGCGGGUCCUCUCCUGGGGCCGGACUGCUGCAGGACACUGAGUCCCCGAGGCACUGCCUGGGAGACAUGACAGGAACAUCUCUGCUCUUG